rnacentral:rRNA from 1 species
GAUGAACGCUGGCGGCGUGCUUAACACAUGCAAGUCGAACGGGACUUGUUAAGUUGAAACUUCGGUCGAUUCUUUUCAAGUCUAGUGGCGGACGGGUGAGUAACGCGUGGGUAACCUGCCUCACACUGGGGGAUAACAGUCAGAAAUGACUGCUAAUACCGCAUAAGCGCACAGCAUCGCAUGAUGCAGUGUGAAAAACUCCGGUGGUGUGAGAUGGACCCGCGUCUGAUUAGCUAGUUGGUAAGGUAACGGCUUACCAAGGCAACGAUCAGUAGCCGACCUGAGAGGGUGACCGGCCACAUUGGGACUGAGACACGGCCCAA